UUACGGUCAAAUCACGCUGAAACACCGGUUCUCGUACGAUCACCGAAGUUAAGCAUCGUAGAGCCAGGUCAGUACUUAGAUGGGGGACCGCUUGGGAACCCCUAGUACUGUAAG
rnacentral:rRNA from 1 species